UAAUGUUAAGUUUAAGUUUAAGUUAGCCUAUUGUACUAAGAAGCUAUGUUAUGUUUUAAAUCAACAUUGUUAAAGCCUCUUUUUGUUGUGAUUAC